GUAAUGUCCAGCCUGAGUUGUUCUUGCCCUGGUGCUGAGCAGGCUGCCAAGAGCCAUCAUGACCUUGUCCUGGUUCUGGGGGUGAUGGAUGAGGGUCUGAGAGAGAGUAUGCCCUCCUGCCCCUCAGUGGUAUUAGCUGGUGCCAUGCAUUUCUGGUACUGUAUCAGUGUCAUGUGUCAUAUGGGCCAGAGAGUUCCCAGCUGGUUCUGGGCUAUUUGUUGUGAAGAAGUCUGACUCCAGGCUCUAAAAGUAAGCCAGAGAAAGGGCCGUCUCAAACCCAAAAUGCCUAUCCCUAUGGCUGGGUGGGAAUUGUCUGAAGACACCACCUGGUGUCUCCUCUGGGGUGUGUUUCUCCUUUAGCAUAGCCUCCCCAAGUACAAGAUCAGCAUUUGAGGCUGGGGGCGGGUAGGGAUACCAAAGUACUCACUCAAGCCAACCUUUCCAUCACAGCCCCUUUGUCUUCCCCCAAAAGAUGUCAUGCUUUGAAAGGUUAUAACUGCCCAAAAAACUCCUUCAGCUCUCGCUGAAGGUUACAAUUAACAUAUUUUGCUGUUAUUUUUGUUUCUUCUAAAAAAUCAAUCAGAGGCUAUACCUGCCCAUUCAGAUCUGAGUGAUAACAGGCAUGACAAUGCUUUAAUGAAGCAGUGAGACAUUGUGGGUAUGUGGGGAGUUCGUUUCUUUGUGGAUGUGGUAAAAUAUAAAUAAUAUAGAAUUUACCAUUUUGGCCAUUUUUAAGUGUACAGGACUGGAAUUAAAUAUAUUCACAUUGUUGUGUAACCAUUACCACUAUCUAUUUUCAGAAUUUUUUAUUAUCCCAAACUGCAACUCUGUAUCUAUAAACAAUAUCACCGCAUCCCCUCUCCUCCUAGCCCCUGGUAACUACUAUUCUACUUUCUGUCUGUGAAUUUGGCCACUCUAGGUACUUCUAUACAAGAGGAAUCAUACAAUACUAUCCUUUUUGACUGGCUUCUUUCACUUAGCACAAUGUCUUCAAGGUUCAUCCAUGUUGUGGCAUGUGUCAGAAUUUCUUUCAUUUUAAAAGCUGAAUAAUAUCCCAUUGUCUAGAUAGUCCUCAUUUUGUUCAUUCAUCCAUCAGUGGACACUUAGGUUGUUUCUAUCUUUUGGCUACUGUGAAUAAUGUAUGGAGUUUUUAGAUGCUAGAAGUAGUUCCUGACAAUAGUGCCUGUGUGAAUCCUGAGGACAGAGACCCCAGGUUGGGAACCAGGGUCUCUCCCAACUUACCCUUUAUGGCUGACAAAACAGAGGCUUCCAGGACAGCUGUGAUGUGUCUCACUUCCCUGUGCCCACCCCAGCUGCUCUGGGCUUCUGCUGGGCUUUACUUCCUGACUAGAGUGGCUAGAAAAUUGUAUGUUUCCUCUACAAGAUGUUUUUAUGAAGCUAUUUUAUAAUUAUAGAUUUAUUAUCCUCACUGGAUUCCUAUGUUCUGACACCUGGACCCUGACGGGGCCUUGUGCAGCCUAGGCGCCCACGGGCAAGUGGUGUGGACCAUUCCUGACACGCCAUCCUCCACCUCCAGGUUGGCUGGGUUUCCUAAGGUGACUGCCCUUUCAUAAGCGGCAAGUUCGGAGAUGAACGGCAUGCGUGAUGGGGGAAAAGGGCCAGAGGCCUGUUGACACUGAGCAUCCCCACCCAGAGGGCCUCCUGGAGGGACUCUGUGUCCUGUCCUGCCAUGUGCGGCAUGAGUGGUCACCCUCAUUGUGGCUCUCCACUGAUGAAUGGCCUCUUGACUUUACCAAGACCAGGCAGCACCCAACAGACCAAUGUGAGCUGGAGGCGGAUGCCGGGCCUGCACCCCACAAACCACAGUCUGCCCAGCCCUGUGCUGAGGAGUCUCUCUUGGGGCCUGGAGGACUCAUGAGCUGAUCUGCAUUGGAAUGGAGGGCGAAGUUGGCAAAGGAAGAUGAGAGCCCCCCUAUCAUUAGUCUACUGUGUAUUCAUCCAAAAAGCAAGGCGAGAGCCAAGCCCAGAGCUGGAUGGACAAAGGAUUGCUAUUAAGCUCUGUACCUUUUUGCACCCGUUUCCUCAGCUCACCCCUCAGAAGUGUCACUGAUGAAAGAUAGAUGAGAAGGAGGCGGUCUAAAUGGGCUUCAUUACAAUGAACAAUGUUGAAUGAACAAUACAUUCCUUGUUGAAUAACCCAAUUAUUUAUGAUCAUGGCAUUUUAUUGUUGUUUUUCUCUCUCUCUACAAAAGCUCUACAUAAUCAUUGUGGAAAUUUUACAAGAUUUCAAUAAGCAAAGACAAGAAAAUGAAAAGCACCCAAAAUCCUACCGCAAGAGACAAGUAUAGCGUCCUUUUCUGUGCAUAUAUCUCUCAAUAUAUUUAACAUUCUUGGAACAGCUUUAUUGAGGCAGAACUUGAAUAUGAAAAAAUUCACCCGUCUUAAGUGUACUGCUUGACGAGUUUUAACAGUUGUAUAUAGUUAUGUCCCUACCACACUGAAGAUAUUUUCAUCAUCCUAAAAUGUUUCCUUGUGCUAAUUUAUAGUCAGUCCUUUCCCACGCUCCUGAUUCCAGAAAACGAUGAUCUGAUUUCAGAAUGUCAUGUAGAUGGAAUCAGACAGUUUGCAGCCGAGUCUGGUUUCUUUCACUUAAAAUGAUGUUUGCAAGAUUCAUUCAUGCUGUAGCAUGUAUCAGUAGUUUUUCCUUUUGAUUGCUGAGUACUAUUCCACUGUAUGAAUAGAUCACAUUUUGUUUAUCCAUUCAUCAGUUGAUAGACAUUUGGUUGUCACCAGUUUUUGGCUAUUAUUAAUAAUGUUGCCAUUAACAUUCAUGUACAAGUCCUUAUAUGUAUGUGUAUGUAUGUUUUCCAUUUUUCUUGGGUAGAUACCUAGGAUCGAGAUUGGUAGGUUGCAUGGUCUGUGUAAAAUUUAACUGUAUAAGAAACUGCCAAAGUGCUUUCCAAAGUCGCUCUACCAUUUUGUACUCCCAUCAGCAGUGUAUGAAUGUUCCAGUUGUUCUACAUCCUGGCCAACACUUAGCAGUAUUAGCCUUUUGAAAAUUUCCAGGCCAGGCGCGAGCCACCAUGCUCCACCAAUGAUUUUUAAAUCCAUUAAGAAUGGGUCUAAAGCAAGGUAAGAGGAUAUAGUGUGAUAGAAGUAGGAGGGCUAUUUGAACAGAUGGUUAGGAAUGGCCUCUGUGAAGAGGUGAUGUUUGAGUACAGAUAUGAAGUGAGAGAGGGAGCCAUGUGACUAGCUGGGGAAGAAACAAACCCAGACAGAGAGAGCAUCAUGUACACAGGUUCUAAGGGAGGAGUGGGAUAACUGAAAAAGGAAUUAGUAGAUAUCAAAAUGCUAUUGAAUUUCAAUAAUUAAAUUUCUGGUUAACUCAAAACAUGUAUUCAGUGUCUAUUAAAAGCCAGGCAUAGGCCAGGCAUGGGGGCUCAUGCCUGUAAUCCCAGCACUUUGGGAGGCCGAGGUGGGUCGAUCACUUGAGGUCAGGAGUUCGAGACCAGCCUGGCUAACAUGGUGAAACCCCAUCUCUAUUAAAAAUACAAAAAUUAGCCAAGCAUGAUGGCAGGCACCUGUAAUCCCAGCUACUUGGGAGGCUGAGGGAGGGGAAUUGCUUGAACCUGGGAGGCGGAGUUUGCAGUAAGCCAAGAUAGCGCCACUGUACUCUAUCCUGGGCAACAGAGUGAGACUCCAUCUCAAAAAAAAAAAAAAAAAACAAAAAACAAAAAAAAAACGCCAGGCAUAGUACUACGUACUUUGUGUCUGUUAUUUAUUUCUCACAGUGGACCAUAAGCUCCAUGAGGACAGGAACUAUGUCUAUUUCACUUACCUUUGUGGAUUCAGGUAGGAUAUUGCCUGGUGCAUAGGAGGCACUCAAUAAAUGUCUGUUGAAUGAAUGAAGUAAUUAACUAAGCAGGUAUUUAUUAUUAUUCCCAUACAAUAGAUUGGAAAAGCAAGGCUCAGAGAAGUAAAGUAACUUACUGGAGGUUAUAUAACCAGGAGGUCCUGAAGGUGAGACUCAAACCUUAGUCUAUCUGACCACAAAGUCCAGGUUUUUGCCAUUCCCCAAGCUGCUGUGGUCUCUCCUUCCUACAUCUGGGAAACUGAGGUUCAGAGUAAAAGAAAGAGCCUUGAUGGAGGUCUCCCAUAAUCCUAAAAAUAAAACCAGCCAGCCACAGGCUCCAGGCUGCUGUUUUGGCCAUGAGACACAUUUGCAUCACUUUCAAUGGCUUCCAAAGAUUUGGGAUAGAAGGAAUACCAGCAGUUUAGGUAAAAGGUUUAAAUUUAGUUUGACUCAAUACCACAUCAAGCCCUCAAAGCAGCCACGGGCUCCCCUGCACUGUGGUCACUGAAGGAGCAAAAGCUGCUGAACUGGCUGUAGCGUCCUGCCUUGAGUUGUUUGUGUUCUCCUGCUAGCUGCAAUGCCCAGGUCUUUGAAUCCUGUCACCAAUAAAUGAUGCUGUUGUCAUGUGCAAGCAACCAAAUUAAUGUGGGUGGAAAAACCCAAGCUUAGUGAUUUGGGCAAAUUAGUUUAUCUGUCACAUAGCCAGUGGUGGUGUUAAAUCACUCUCUGUUUGAGGAGUAAUCACUCUCCCCCCAUCACCACCCUGUCUUCCUUUCGGUGUGGAAGUUAGAACAGCCAAGUCAAUCCGUUUCAGUGACUGAGCGAUCUACAUUUCUGUGUUUUGACUGCCCCCCAGGAGGAGUAUGUUGUGUAGUGCAUUUUGUUUGUCCAUAGUGCUGUCUCGUGGUCCUCCGAAGCCACCUCUAAUGAUCAUAAUUGCCUCUUUUAUUCUUCUCUAGUCCGUGUCUUUGCAAAAUGAUUCUGUUACCUAUGCUAUAAAUUAUGGAAAAUAAACUCAUUAUG
rnacentral:lncRNA from 1 species